UACGUAGGGUGCAAGCGUUGUCCGGAAUUAUUGGGCGUAAAGAGCUCGUAGGCGGUCAGUCGCGUCGGCUGUGAAAACCCGGAGCUCAACUCCGGGCCUGCAGUCGAUACGGGCAGACUGGAGUUCGGCAGGGGAGACUGGAAUUCCUGGUGUAGCGGUGAAAUGCGCAGAUAUCAGGAGGAACACCGGUGGCGAAGGCGGGUCUCUGGGCCGAUACUGACGCUGAGGAGCGAAAGCGUGGGGAGCGAACAGG
rnacentral:rRNA from 1 species